rnacentral:misc_RNA from 1 species
AAGUCGUAACAAGGUUUCCGUAGGUGAACCUGCGGAAGGAUCAUUACCGAAUUGUCGACACGAGUUGUUGCUGGCCCUCAAACGGGGGCAUGUGCACGCUCUGUUUGCAUCCACUCACACCUGUGCACCUCUUGUAGUUCUACGGUUGGGGAGGCACCCGCCUUUCCUCCUGGGGUUCUACGUUUUUACACACACACUGUAACAUGGUUUUAUGGAAUGCAUGCAGCGUUUAACGCAAUACAAUACAACUUUCAGCAACGGAUCUCUUGGCUCUC